GACGAACGCUGGCGGCGUGCCUAAUACAUGCAAGUCGAACGAGAGCGACCGGUGCUUGCACUGGUCAAUCUAGUGGCGAACGGGUGAGUAACACGUGGGUAACCUGCCCAUCAGAGGGGGAUAACAUCCGGAAACGGAUGCUAAAACCGCAUAGGUCUUCGGGCCGCAUGGCUUGAAGAGGAAAAGAGGCGCAAGCUUCUGCUGAUGGAUGGACCCGCGGUGCAUUAGCUAGUUGGUGAGGUAACGGCUCACCAAGGCCGUGAUGCAUAGCCGACCUGAGAGGGUGAUCGGCCACAUUGGGACUGAGACACGGCCCAAACUCCUACGGGAGGCAGCAGUAGGGAAUCUUCCGCAAUGGACGCAAGUCUGACGGAGCAACGCCGCGUGAGUGAAGAAGGUUUUCGGAUCGUAAAACUCUGUUGUUAGAGAAGAACAAGUGCUAGAGUAACUGUUAGCGCCUUGACGGUAUCUAACCAGAAAGCCACGGCUAACUACGUG
rnacentral:rRNA from 1 species